rfam:Nematocida parisii ERTm3 unplaced genomic scaffold supercont1.3, whole genome shotgun sequence.
GGCUUCUUAGCUCAAUGGUAGAGCGCACCCCUAGUAAGGGUGAGGCUACGGGUUCGAUUCCCGUAGAAGCCU